CACGUAGGGCGCGAGCGUUGUCCGGAAUUAUUGGGCGUAAAGAGCUCGUAGGCGGUCUGUUGCGUCGGCUGUGAAAACCCGAGGCUCAACCUCGGGCCUGCAGCCGAUACGGGCAGACUAGAGUUCGGCAGGGGAGACUGGAAUUCCUGGUGUAGCGGUGAAAUGCGCAGAUAUCAGGAGGAACACCGGUGGCGAAGGCGGGUCUCUGGGCCGAUACUGACGCUGAGGAGCGAAAGCGUGGGGAGCGAACAGG
rnacentral:rRNA from 1 species